GCCAGGCUGUCUCCACCCGAGACUCAGUGAAAUUGAACUCGCUGUGAAGAUGCAGUGUACCCGCGGCAAGACGGAAAGACCCCGUGAACCUUUACUAUAGCUUGACACUGAACAUUGAGCCUUGAUGUGUAGGAUAGGUGGGAGGCUUUGAAGUGUGGACGCCAGUCUGCAUGGAGCCGACCUUGAAAUACCACCCUUUAAUGUUUGAUGUUCUAACGUGGACCCGUAAUCCGGGUUGCGGACAGUGUCUGGUGGGUAGUUUGACUGGGGCGGUCUCCUCCUAAAGAGUAACGGAGGAGCACGAAGGUUGGCUAAUCCUGGUCGGACAUCAGGAGGUUAGUGCAAUGGCAUAAGCCAGCUUGACUGCGAGCGUGACGGCGCGAGCAGGUGCGAAAGCAGGUCAUAGUGAUCCGGUGGUUCUGAAUGGAAGGGCCAUCGCUCAACGGAUAAAAGGUACUCCGGGGAUAACAGGCUGAUACCGCCCAAGAGUUCAUAUCGACGGCGGUGUUUGGCACCUCGAUGUCGGCUCAUCACAUCCUGGGGCUGAAGUAGGUCCCAAGGGUAUGGCUGUUCGCCAUUUAAAGUGGUACGCGAGCUGGGUUUAGAACGUCGUGAGACAGUUCGGUCCCUAUCUGCCGUGGGCGCUGGAGAAUUGAGGGGGGCUGCUCCUAGUACGAGAGGACCGGAGUGGACGCAUCACUGGUGUUCGGGUUGUCAUGCCAAUGGCACUGCCCGGUAGCUAAAUGCGGAAGAGAUAAGUGCUGAAAGCAUCUAAGCACGAAACUUGCCCCGAGAUGAGUUCUCCCUGACUCCUUGAGAGUCCUGAAGGAACGUUGAAGACGACGACGUUGAUAGGCCGGGUGUGUAAGCGCAGCGAUGCGUUGAGCUAACCGGUACUAAUGAACCGUGAGGCUUAACCUU
rnacentral:rRNA from 1 species